rnacentral:lncRNA from 10 species
UGAUCGGCUUGAACUGGCAAGGUAUACCUAUGGAACUGCUAUUGAAGUCUUCACUUGAGCUUAGGAUAAAGUUUCAUUUCUUCUUUUUUUUUCUUUAGCUUACAGUGCUUGAAUGAAACACUCACAUCAUGCACAAAAGAAGUAGGAAAGGCUGCUUUGGAAAAACAGAUAGAAGAAAUAAAUGAGCAAAUCAGAAAAGAGAAAGAGGAAGCUGAGGCUCGUAUGCGACAAGCAUCUAAGAACACAGAGAAAUCAACUGGUGGAGGUGGAAAUGGAAGUAAAAAUUGGUCAGAAGAUGAUCUACAAUUACUAAUUAAAGCUGUGAAUCUGUUCCCUGCUGGAACAAAUUCAAGAUGGGAAGUUAUUGCUAAUUACAUGAACAUACAUUCUUCCUCUGGAGUCAAAAGAACUGCCAAAGAUGUUAUUGGCAAAGCAAAGAGUCUCCAAAAACUUGGUGAGUUUUGAGAAGUCCAUUUGUUACUUUAAACACCUAUUUUUAAAAUAACUUAUGCAAUUUAAUGAAAGAUUAAAUGAUGAUCUGUUAAGUAUUAAAUUUUUUUCAUUUCUCAGACCCUCAUCAAAAAGAUGACAUAAAUAAAAAGGCAUUUGAUAAGUUCAAAAAAGAACAUGGAGUGGUACCUCAAGCAGACAACGCAACGCCUUCAGAACGAUUUGAAGGUAAAUUUUGCUUUUCUAAACGUAGAAAAUGCUAGCCAUGUAUCUGUGCUGCUUGGACGUACAAGACUUAGGGUCUAUGUUCAGAAUGAUAGGGAAAUAAAAUGUUUAGCAGACUGGAAGCUGUAAGCAAACAUUUCCAGGGCAAAGAUUUACUUCACCUAACCAUUAAAAAUGGAGAAUUGCAGUUGUUCCAUUUCAGAUGCCAUUAGAGAAGGGGGCUGUUUGUUUUGCUUACCAGGUUUUACAAAACAGUGUUAGAGGAUAUUAUUGGGACUAAAGAAUAGUGUUAUAUCGGGAUAAUUGCUUGAUUUUGAGAAAUGUACUGUAAUUAUAUAAGAAAAUGUCCUUAUGUUUAAGGAAAAACACAGAAGUGUUAAGGAAUAAAGAGGCAUCAUGUCUGUAACUUAUGGUUCAAAGUAUGUCUGUACAUAUAGGUAAAAAUAAUUAGCAAAUAUGAAAAUGUUCACAUUUGGGGAAUGUAGGCAGAGUAUACAGGGAUUCUUUCUACUCCUCUAAAAUUAUUUCAAAAUAAAAUGUUAAAAAUUGUUAGGGUUCAAAACCAGGAAACAUAGUAAGACUCAAAAA